rnacentral:tRNA from 1 species
CAGGAUAAAGCGUUACGGUAGCGUACCUUGUUUGGAACGAGGUGGCCGAGGUUCGACUCCUCGUAUCCUGACCA